rnacentral:rRNA from 1 species
GAUGAACGCUGGCGGCGUGCCUAAUACAUGCAAGUCGAGCGAACAGACGAGGAGCUUGCUCCUCUGACGUUAGCGGCGGACGGGUGAGUAACACGUGGAUAACCUACCUAUAAGACUGGGAUAACUUCGGGAAACCGGAGCUAAUACCGGAUAAUAUAUUGAACCGCAUGGUUCAAUAGUGAAAGACGGUUUUGCUGUCACUUAUAGAUGGAUCCGCGCCGCAUUAGCUAGUUGGUAAGGUAACGGCUUACCAAGGCAACGAUGCGUAGCCGACCUGAGAGGGUGAUCGGCCACCCUGGAACUGAGACACGGUCCAGACUCCUACGGGAGGCAGCAGUAGGGAAUCUGCCGCAAUGGGCGAAAGCCUGACGGAGCAACGCCGCGUGAGUGAUGAAGGUCUUCGGAUCGUAAAACUCUGUUAUUAGGGAAGAACAAAUGUGUAAGUAACUAUGCACGUCUUGACGGUACCUAAUCAGAAAGCCACGGCUAACUACGUG